rnacentral:rRNA from 1 species
AUUGAACGCUGGCGGCAGGCCUAACACAUGCAAGUCGAACGAGUGGCGGACGGGUGAGUAAUGUCUGGGAAACUGCCCGAUGGAGGGGGAUAACUACUGGAAACGGUAGCUAAUACCGCAUACCAUCGGAUGUGCCCCGAUGGGAUGAGCUAGUCGGUGGGGUCACUGCUCACCUAGGCCACGAUCCCUAGCUGGUCUGAGAGGAUGAACAGCCACACUGGAACUGUGACACGGUCCAGACUCCGACGGGAGGCAGCAGUGGGAAAUAGUGCACAAUGGGCGCAAGCCGGCUGCAGCCAGUCCGCGUGUAGGAAGAAGGCCUUCGGGUUGUAAAGUACUUUCAGCGAGGAGGCGUUACGCGCAGAAGAAGCACCGGCUAACUCCGUGCCAGCAGCCGCGGAAAUAG